GGUUAUCUAAUCUUCACAUGAGUUGUUGUUCCUCUGCCUUUUUUUUUUAAUUUGCUAAGAAUUUGGUUUCCAUCCUGUGGUUCUGUCUAUUUUUUAUAUGAUUAUAUUGUGGAUAUUGUUGCGGGCUGAAUGGUUUGUCAAUUUUUUUUCCUUUUAUUUUAUUUUUAUAUGUAAAUCGAAAUAUUUUUACAGUGCAUCGGUUUCAAUCCUAUUUCAACAUGGGAUUUCUAUUCUCACUUUCCACAUUAGUCAGCAAUCCACAAAUUUAAGGACUAAAUUUUGAAUUACAUUAAAUUCGAAUGCUAAA
rnacentral:lncRNA from 1 species